rnacentral:tRNA from 1 species
GCCCCGGUGGCGGAAUGGCAGACGCAACGGACUUAAAAUCCGUUGGCCGCAAGGCCGUGCUGGUUCGACUCCAGCCCGGGGCACCA